GGGACACGUGGUAUCCUGUCUGAAUAUGGGGGGACCAUCCUCCAAGGCUAAAUACUCCUGACUGACCGAUAGUGAACCAGUACCGUGAGGGAAAGGCGAAAAGAACCCCGGCGAGGGGAGUGAAAAAGAACCUGAAACCGUGUACGUACAAGCAGUGGGAGCACGCUUAGGCGUGUGACUGCGUACCUUUUGUAUAAUGGGUCAGCGACUUAUAUUCUGUAGCAAGGUUAACCGAAUAGGGGAGCCGAAGGGAAACCGAGUCUUAACUGGGCGUUAAGUUGCAGGGUAUAGACCCGAAACCCGGUGAUCUAGCCAUGGGCAGGUUGAAGGUUGGGUAACACUAACUGGAGGACCGAACCGACUAAUGUUGAAAAAUUAGCGGAUGACUUGUGGCUGGGGGUGAAAGGCCAAUCAAACCGGGAGAUAGCUGGUUCUCCCCGAAAGCUAUUUAGGUAGCGCCUCGUGAAUUCAUCUCCGGGGGUAGAGCACUGUUUCGGCAAGGGGGUCAUCCCGACUUACCAACCCGAUGCAAACUGCGAAUACCGGAGAAUGUUAUCACGGGAGACACACGGCGGGUGCUAACGUCCGUCGUGAAGAGGGAAACAACCCAGACCGCCAGCUAAGGUCCCAAAGUCAUGGUUAAGUGGGAAACGAUGUGGGAAGGCCCAGACAGCCAGGAUGUUGGCUUAGAAGCAGCCAUCAUUUAAAGAAAGCGUAAUAGCUCACUGGUCGAGUCGGCCUGCGCGGAAGAUGUAACGGGGCUAAACCAUGCACCGAAGCUGCGGCAGCGACGCUUAUGCGUUGUUGGGUAGGGGAGCGUUCUGUAAGCCUGCGAAGGUGUACUGUGAGGUAUGCUGGAGGUAUCAGAAGUGCGAAUGCUGACAUAAGUAACGAUAAAGCGGGUGAAAAGCCCGCUCGCCGGAAGACCAAGGGUUCCUGUCCAACGUUAAUCGGGGCAGGGUGAGUCGACCCCUAAGGCGAGGCCGAAAGGCGUAGUCGAUGGGAAACAGGUUAAUAUUCCUGUACUUGGUGUUACUGCGAAGGGGGGACGGAGAAGGCUAUGUUGGCCGGGCGACGGUUGUCCCGGUUUAAGCGUGUAGGCUGGUUUUCCAGGCAAAUCCGGAAAAUCAAGGCUGAGGCGUGAUGACGAGGCACUACGGUGCUGAAGCAACAAAUGCCCUGCUUCCAGGAAAAGCCUCUAAGCAUCAGGUAACAUCAAAUCGUACCCCAAACCGACACAGGUGGUCAGGUAGAGAAUACCAAGGCGCUUGAGAGAACUCGGGUGAAGGAACUAGGCAAAAUGGUGCCGUAACUUCGGGAGAAGGCACGCUGAUAUGUAGGUGAAGUCCCUCGCGGAUGGAGCUGAAAUCAGUCGAAGAUACCAGCUGGCUGCAACUGUUUAUUAAAAACACAGCACUGUGCAAACACGAAAGUGGACGUAUACGGUGUGACGCCUGCCCGGUGCCGGAAGGUUAAUUGAUGGGGUUAGCGCAAGCGAAGCUCUUGAUCGAAGCCCCGGUAAACGGCGGCCGUAACUAUAACGGUCCUAAGGUAGCGAAAUUCCUUGUCGGGUAAGUUCCGACCUGCACGAAUGGCGUAAUGAUGGCCAGGCUGUCUCCACCCGAGACUCAGUGAAAUUGAACUCGCUGUGAAGAUGCAGUGUACCCGCGGCAAGACGGAAAGACCCCGUGAACCUUUACUAUAGCUUGACACUGAACAUUGAGCCUUGAUGUGUAGGAUAGGUGGGAGGCUUGGAAGUGUGGACGCCAGUCUGCAUGGAGCCGACCUUGAAAUACCACCCUUUAAUGUUUGAUGUUCUAACGUUGACCCGUGAUCCGGGUUGCGGACAGUGUCUGGUGGGUAGUUUGACUGGGGCGGUCUCCUCCUAAAGAGUAACGGAGGAGCACGAAGGUUGGCUAAUCCUGGUCGGACAUCAGGAGGUUAGUGCAAUGGCAUAAGCCAGCUUGACUGCGAGCGUGACGGCGCGAGCAGGUGCGAAAGCAGGUCAUAGUGAUCCGGUGGUUCUGAAUGGAAGGGCCAUCGCUCAACGGAUAAAAGGUACUCCGGGGAUAACAGGCUGAUACCGCCCAAGAGUUCAUAUCGACGGCGGUGUUUGGCACCUCGAUGUCGGCUCAUCACAUCCUGGGGCUGAAGUAGGUCCCAAGGGUAUGGCUGUUCGCCAUUUAAAGUGGUACGCGAGCUGGGUUUAGAACGUCGUGAGACAGUUCGGUCCCUAUCUGCCGUGGGCGCUGGAGAACUGAGGGGGGCUGCUCCUAGUACGAGAGGACCGGAGUGGACGCAUCACUGGUGUUCGGGUUGUCAUGCCAAUGGCACUGCCCGGUAGCUAAAUGCGGAAGAGAUAAGUGCUGAAAGCAUCUAAGCACGAAACUUGCC
rnacentral:rRNA from 1 species